UACGGAGGGUGCAAGCGUUAUCCGGAUUUACUGGGUUUAAAGGGUGUGUAGGCGGGCUAUUAAGUCAGUGGUGAAAUCCCACGGCUCAACCGUGGAACUGCUGGGUAUACUGGUUGUCUUGAGCCAGCUAGGGGCGAGCGGAACAGACGGUGGAGCGGUGAAAUGCGUAGAUAUCGUCUGGAACGCCGAAGGUGAAAACAGCUCGCUGGGGCUGCGCUGACGCUGAGACACGAAAGCCAGGGGAGCGAACGGG
rnacentral:rRNA from 1 species